CACCUGUAAGACAGAGAGAGAGAUCUGUGGGUGACAAUGGGAGCUAUUGUAGCAUUAGCAGUACUGCUGGGAACUUUAUAUUAUGGUCACUGUUAUGAACUCACACAGCCAGGCUCUAUGGUAGUAACACCAGGACAGCCUUUAACCAUCUCCUGUAAAGUCUCAUAUUCAGUGAGCAGCUAUACUACAGCCUGGAUCCGCCAGCCUGCAGGGAAAGCUCUGGAGUGGAUUGGCCUUAUAGACUCGGGUGGAGGCACUGCUUAUAAAGAUUCUCUAAAAAACAAGUUCACCAUCUCCAGAGACACCUCCAGCAGCACAGUGUCUUUACAAGGGAACAGCCUGCAGACUGGAGAUACAGCUGUGUAUUACUGUGCC